rnacentral:lncRNA from 1 species
GCUAAUUAGUGGUGUAUCGUACAUGCAUACGAAGUGUGCAAUGUCUGGCUCGAGUUGGAGUGCUGUGUAUAUCCGUGAUGCCCGUACUAACGAUUUCUCCGAUCGAAUGCGACCAAUUAAAUUUAUACUCGAAGAUUCUCAACGAAAAUGGAAAGGAGGAGGGGAAUGAGAGCGGAAGAAGUAUAAGGAAGAAAGUCGGGGGGAGCAAAGUAUUAAACAACUCGAGGGUGACGGGGGGCCGCGACCGCAGAGUAUGCGAGGAGACGUCCGCCGACGAGAGUAUACACACAAAUGACCUUGAAAUUCGAUCCCCCCAAACC